rnacentral:tRNA from 1 species
AGGGUAAUAGCUCAGUGGUAAAGUGCAUGCUUAGCAUGCAUGAGGUCCUGGGUUCAAUCCCCAGUUCCCCCA